UCCAAUUUUUGAGAAAGGCUUUGUUGUGGGAGGACUUUUUAUAAAGAUCUCCUUAGUUAAAUUUUGGCGUGGAAGUGCGUAUUCAGUCUGUGGAAUUCGUAUUUCCGGGUAUGUUUCUUAUUUAAUUUUUGUAAUGUUAUUAUUUUUAAUUGUUAGUUAAAGUUUGAAUUUUUGAAGUUUAGUUAGUGUUGUUAAUAAACUAGUUAGUUUACUAUGUUUAUUUUGGCUUGGAAUUGAUUAUGUAAAUGAGUUAUUUGUGAUGACUUUUAAUAUUUUGUGAUGAAUUUCAUUAAUUAAUAAUUAUUAAUGAUAUUAAAGUUAUUUAAUGAUUAUAUUAAAUAAUUUAGUUUAAAAAUGAUUUUAAUAUUAUAAAAAUCAUUUUAAAUGAAAAUAAGGUAUUUAAAAAUAUUUUAAGUUAUAAAAUAUAACUUUUAAUAUUUAAAUGAUAAUUUCAUUAAUAAUUAAAUAUUAAUGAUAUUAAGAUAAUAUUAAUGAUAUUUAGUUUAUUUAAUGAUUAAUAUUAAAUAAAUAGUUUAAAAAUGGUUUUACUUAUUUAAAAACCAUUUAAAGAGGAUAUUAAGGAUUUAAAAAUAUUUUAAGUUAUAAUUAAUGACUUUUAAUAUUUGGAUAAAUAGUACAUUAAUAUUUAAAUAUUAAUGGUAAUUAUUUGGGUAAUAUAAAUGUUUUAAAAAUAGUUUGAGUUAUUAUAAAUAACUUUUAUAUUUUGGCAAUGGUUUCAUUAAUAGUUUAGUAUUAAUUAAACUAUUAAUGAUAAUGGAAUUGUUUAAUGUUUAAAUCAUUUAAUUAUGAUUCCGAUAUUUGAAAGUUAUAGCCGGCCAAACUAGCUGACUUGAGAACCGAUUAUGAAGUUCUGAAUUUGAAGAAGAACACCUAUAGUAACAGUUAUAUCACUAUAGGCCCUUUAGUGACAGAUUUGAAUUAUUUUAAAUUUUUCAAUUUCUGGAAAUUGCGAAAAUGAUUAAAAAUAAGAUGUCUGAUAUUUACAGAUGUUGAGGUAUAGAAUAAGAGUCUUAGACUCAGUAUUUACCCGAUAAAGCUGUCGGUACGCCGACAAAUGUCAGACCUUAUAAAAGAAAGAAAAGACUACUGUAAGAGCAUGGAUGAGAUAUUUGAAAAAUGUAUAAAAAUAUUUCAAGUAUAGAAUAGGAACUAAAAGUAUGAUCACUGUGAUUAUGUGAUUAGACUAUGUGCUGACUGUAAUAGACAGUACUAUGUGUUAAGAUAUAUUGUUCUAAUCGAACGAAUGAUCUGAUUAUUGAUAGGUUGUGAUAAAGAGAUAAAACCUAAGUUGAGAUUUGUAAUCAGCGAAUCAGGCAAGUAUCCUACCUUUGCAUUUCCUUUAUGCAAUGGACAUGAGUAAGAAGUUUCAGAAUUAUUCUAUUCCUGUACAGAUUAUGUACGCUUUGAUUAUCAACAUGUUAGCUCAGAUAUAUAUUCUGUUAAGUUGAUUUCUAAAUGGUUAUACAAGUGUCCCCACUUGGAUAAUCAUGGCAUUUAUUCACAUGUUGAUAUACCUUUGUCAAUUACCCGUAUACAUAUAUGUUGAAUUACAUAUUAUUGUUGAGCAAGAUUAAAAACCUUCGGGUUUGGAACCAGGCAUGUAUGAACAUCCCUAUAUGGGAAGAUUUUUGCGCCCAAGGCGGAUAGAGUGAGCGAUGAAUUUCGUUCAAGUUAUGUAGUAUUGAUCAAUACAGGGUACAACGGGGCUGAUCACCCUCCGUGCCCGUAAGUUAUGACGGUUUGAGGAUGGAAUUCCGCUAAACCUUUUCGAAAAUGAAAAGAAUGUUCAUAGUAUGUUUCUUAAACCCUAUUCAAGGGUAGAGCCAGAGCCAAAUUUAAAGAAUUUGAAAGAGAGUUGUUAUGUGAAUUUUUUAUCAGUACAGAUUACUUCACAACUUUCAAUUCGUUGUAGAAGUGUUAUGUAAAGAGAAUACUUAUAUUCUUUCAGCUUAUAUAUAAUUGCUAUUACUUGCUGGGCACUUAAAUGCUCAUCCUUGCUUAAAUUAAAUGUUUUCAGUUAUGUAUGAGCAACCUGAAGGCUCAGGCACGAACAAAGGAAAAGGAAAGCUGAUCGAAUAAGUGUGUAUUAUGAGUUAAUGGUUAUAGUUGUAUUGGUAUCUAUUCAAGUAUUGUAAGGAAUGUAUUUGAAGGUCAUGUACCUGGGGAAGUAAACUUUGAUGUAUGUAAAUUAAGUUCGAAUGUAUUAUUAUUUAGUAUUAUUCAGCUUAAAGAAAUGGUAUCGUGGAGAACCGAGUUCGGGUUUCAAGUACCUGGAUUUGGGGUCGUCACAU
rnacentral:lncRNA from 1 species